AGUACUUUCACAGGUUAAGUAGCUAAAGGCCAAAAUGGGAAUAACAAAAACUGGCCCUCCAAAUCUCAUGGAUGUCACAAAAAAGCGAUGCAGCAAUAACACGUGUUUGUUCGUGUGUGUUCCCUGUGAUGAACUUGUGUCCUCUCCAGAGUGAACCAUGCCUUACACCAAUUACAUAGUAGGUACUGUCUUCCCCACAACCCCGUUCACCUAUACAGUACAUGCAGUAUUUGUUUUACUCAAUUGAUAUUAUGGUAGAGCUUUUACAUUUUUAUUAUGAAUAUUUCUUUCAUUUUCCUGAUUUUCAAUUUUGACUGACAUAACCCAUUGCACACUGUAUCAGUGUCAAUAAUUCACAAAUACAAGCUAAAAGCUCAAGGGUAACAUCAACAGUGACACUUUGUAGAUCACUACUGCAUUAUGUUUAUCAUAUGAAAAGCCAUCCAACUGAAGAAACGGCCUUCUCAGCACUCUGAUUUUAAAAUAACCUCAACAUGCUGUCUGUUCUUUAUCAUGAAAACUGUAUAUUUCCUCAUUCAUGUUAACAUAGUUCAGAGGAAACUGGGGUUUUGAUCAUUCUUUUACGUUAAAUUAUUUUUUUAGAAUUCAGUUUUUAAUAAAAACUCACCCCAGAAUGUCAUCUACAUAUAGGCAGGAUAAAUACAUAUUAACUAGGUUUUAUAACAUUACCAUUACCUAAGGGAGGUGAUGCAGUAGUAAGGCACUACGCUUAACUUUAAUGGCUUUUUGGACUUAAACCUCUAGGCAGCAUGUGCUAUCAAAUCUUUGAAAAAAUAGACUUCUACAGUGGUGAAUCUCAAAAUUUCAGAUACCAGUUCUAUGAAAUGUUCUUGUCAGAACACAAAUUGCAGGUUAUUAACUGAAAGAGUGCUACAUUAAUAACUGAUCUA
rnacentral:lncRNA from 1 species